AAAGUGGCGUACGCGACGGCCAUGGACUGGUUCAUCGCGGUGUGCUACGCCUUC
rfam:Camelus ferus unplaced genomic scaffold scaffold641, whole genome shotgun sequence.